rnacentral:snRNA from 1 species
GUGAUGUAUAAGCCUCCCCCAUUGUUGCAAACAGCACAUACACUAAUGAUAGGAACAAUACAGAGACAAAUAACAUGUCCCUUCCACAAGAAUAACAUAAAACAUAUUGAAUUAUUCCAUAUUUGU